AGGACGAACGCUGGCGGCGUGCUUAACACAUGCAAGUCGAGCGGAAAGGCCCUUCGGGGUACUCGAGCGGCGAACGGGUGAGUAACACGUGAGCAAUCUGCCCUUAGCUUCGGGAUAGCCCCCGGGAAACCGGGAUUAAUACCGAAUAUGACCUCGGCCGACAUCGGCUUUGGUGGAAAGUUUUUCGGCUAGGGAUGAACUCGCGGCCUAUCAGCUUGUUGGUGGGGUAAUGGCCUACCAAGGCGACGACGGGUAGCCGGCCUGAGAGGGCGACCGGCCACACUGGGACUGAGACACGGCCCAGACUCCUACGGGAGGCAGCAGUGGGGAAUAUUGCGCAAUGGGCGAAAGCCUGACGCAGCGACGCCGCGUGGGGGAUGAAGGCCUUCGGGUUGUAAACCCCUUUCAGCAGGGACGAAGCGAGAGUGACGGUACCUGCAGAAGAAGCGCCGGCUAACGUACGCGCCAGCAGCCGC
rnacentral:rRNA from 1 species